rnacentral:lncRNA from 1 species
ACCAUGCAAAAAGUUCCCACUUAUAGAUUACUAGAAAAUUCAUGUGCGCUUCGCGCGGUAAUAAAAAACAUUCUCUUAGAAGCAUAAAAAUUAUAAAUUUACUGGAAAAUAAACUAAUAAAUAAAAAUUAACGUUAAUAAGUAAAAUAAAUGAAUAGGAAUUAAUCAUCGCAUUUAAGUAGCUUAAGAGCAUUUAUUUCUAGCAAAAAAGUGAGAUUUUACGAUAUAUAUAUGCGUCAAAAGUACGGCUAACUUGCCAAUAAGCAAGGAAAUGAGAUUGUUAUUGUUUUACAAUAUAAAUGCGUAAAAGUUGAACUAACAUGCUAAUUAGCAGGAAAAGUAUACAUCUAUUACGGAAAAGAAAUACAGAGAGAAGGAAAAAUAAGAGGAAAAUAAUUAGUAGCAUUUAUAUUGUAACCAACCUUGUUCUUGUUUUCAUAUAUGAAACCCAUCAGAAUAGAAAUUGGAUUAUUCAAUAUCAUUCAAAGAAUUAACUUAUCGGAAUGAAAAGAUAAUCACAAUACCUCUUUAGUCUGGCCAAAAGCAAAGCCGAGAUGCCACUCGCGUUUUUCAUCUUCCUAAUGCGAGAGAGAUCACAAUUGGCAGGAAUAAAAUAUAUAAAAAGAAAGAUGCAGGUUAUAACACAUUAUACGAUUGGGGCUUAUGGACUUGAAAAGUCAUAAUCC